rnacentral:lncRNA from 1 species
AAUAAUGAAGAGAUUUUCAAUGAGUCCCCUGGCCAAGCCGCCCCUAUUGUAUAUUGCAUUGAUAAAAAGGAUGUUAUUGACUAUGCAACAGUGGGCUCCUUUCCUCCCUCUCCCUUUUUCCAAAUAAACUCUCGCUCCUUGCUCCUGGUCAGUGAAAAGGUGAAACGAAUAAGAUUAAAUCAGACAAAAAAAGCAAGCUCUGUAUGUAUAUCAUCUAGAUUUUACUCCCCAGACUGUGAAGAGACAGGGAGUAAAAGAGGCAGAGCAAGGCACAGAGAGAGGGAGAGAGAGAGCGAGAGUGAAAGAGAGCCAGAGAGAAGGUGGACGGACCCAGCAGCUUGUGCCCUACUCUUCCUUGAAAAGGUUUCCUCGGAACCUGGAUCGCUUCAGCUGGCACCCAGAACCCCGGCCAAACCAGGCUUCACCAGAGCUGUGCAGAGACCAUCCAGUUCACUGACUACUCCAUGGAACUCAAGAACAACCGUCAUUAGAGAGGAUAAAGGGAAGCAAUCUGUAGCCUCCUCUCUCCCCCACGCCCUGCAGUUUCUCAUCUCAAUAGGCACACAGGGCUGCCUUGUCAGAACACACUGAACAACAACUGGCUAUUCACGCAUAGAAAGGUUUUCCGUAAGUGUCCCAUUAAUGUACUGCCCUAUGCUGGAAUGUGAGAUUUGAUGGGCUCAAAUACAGAGAAAUUUUGUUGCAAGGACUCAAGCAUCUUGUGCAAAGCUUUCAAAAUGUAAG